rnacentral:rRNA from 1 species
AACGAACGCUGGCGGCAUGCCUAACACAUGCAAGUCGAACGAGACCUUCGGGUCUAGUGGCGCACGGGUGCGUAACGCGUGGGAACCUGCCCUUAGGUUCGGAAUAACUCCCCGAAAGGGGUGCUAAUACCGGAUAAUGUCUUCGGACCAAAGGUUUAUCGCCUUUGGAUGGGCCCGCGUUGGAUUAGCUAGUUGGUAGGGUAAAAGCCUACCAAGGCGACGAUCCAUAGCUGGUCUGAGAGGAUGAUCAGCCACACUGGGACUGAGACACGGCCCAGACUCCUACGGGAGGCAGCAGUGGGGAAUAUUGGACAAGGGGCGAAAGCCUGAUCCAGCAAUGCCGCGUGAGUGAUGAAGGCCUUAGGGUUGUAAAGCUCUUUUACCCGGGAUGAUAAUGACAGUACCGGGAGAAUAAGCUCCGGCUAACUCCGUG